GCCCGGUUAGCUCAGCCGGUAGAGCGUUGGACCUUUAAUCCAACGGUCAA
rnacentral:tRNA from 1 species